CUCCGCCCUGCUGUGGCCACCCCCCAAACUAACCUUACAGCUGAUAGCUUUGCAUGCUACUUUACCAACAAGAUUGAACAGCUAAGGAAACAAUUCUCCCCUCCUUGCCGUUCUCUUUCUCAACCACGUGUAAAUCUUGCUUUCCCUACCCUCCAGACUUUCUACCCGGCUACUGAACAAGAGGUGGCUGCGCUUCUCCAUUCCUCUCGCCCCACCACUUGCCCGCUCGAUCCUGUCCCAUCUCACCUCAUCAGAUCUCUCUCCCCUUGUCUUGUG